AGGCGAACCGGGGGAACUGAAACAUCUAAGUACCCCGAGGAAAAGAAAUCAACCGAGAUUCCGAAAGUAGCGGCGAGCGAAAUUGGACUAGCCCUUAAGCUUUACACGCGUUAGACGAACGGUCUGGAAAGUCCGACGAUACAGGGUGAUAGUCCCGUAGUUGACGACGUGUGUUCAGUGAAAUCGAGUAGGGCGGGACACGUGAUAUCCUGUCUGAAUAUGGGGGGACCAUCCUCCAAGGCUAAAUACUACUGACUGACCGAUAGUGAACCAGUACCGUGAGGGAAAGGCGAAAAGAACCCCUGUGAGGGGAGUGAAAUAGAACCUGAAACCGUGUACGUACAAGCAGUAGGAGCAGGCUUUGUCCUGUGACUGCGUACCUUUUGUAUAAUGGGUCAGCGACUUAUAUUCAGUGGCAAGGUUAACCAUCUAGGGGAGCCGUAGGGAAACCGAGUCUUAACUGGGCGUUCAGUCUCUGGAUAUAGACCCGAAACCAGGUGAUCUAGCCAUGGGCAGGUUGAAGGUUGAGUAACAUCAACUGGAGGACCGAACCGACUAAUGUUGAAAAAUUAGCGGAUGACUUGUGGCUAGGGGUGAAAGGCCAAUCAAACCUGGAGAUAGCUGGUUCUCCCCGAAAGCUAUUUAGGUAGCGCCUCGGACGAAUACUACUGGGGGUAGAGCACUGUUAAGGCUAGGGGGUCAUCCCGACUUACCAACCCUUUGCAAACUCCGAAUACCAGUAAGUACUAUCCGGGAGACACACGGCGGGUGCUAACGUCCGUCGUGGAGAGGGAAACAACCCAGACCGCCAGCUAAGGUCCCAAAUUACUACUAAGUGGGAAACGAUGUGGGAAGGCUCAGACAGCCAGGAUGUUGGCUUAGAAGCAGCCAUCAUUUAAAGAAAGCGUAAUAGCUCACUGGUCGAGUCGGCCUGCGCGGAAGAUGUAACGGGGCUAAGUAGUAAACCGAAGCUGCGGCAAUGUGCUUUUGCACAUUGGGUAGGGGAGCGUUCUGUAAGCGGUUGAAGGUGUGUGGUAACGCAUGCUGGACGUAUCAGAAGUGCGAAUGCUGACAUGAGUAACGAUAAAGGGGGUGAAAAACCUCCUCGCCGGAAGACCAAGGGUUCCUGUCCAACGUUAAUCGGGGCAGGGUAAGUCGACCCCUAAGGCGAGGCCGAAAGGCGUAGUCGAUGGGAAACGGGUUAAUAUUCCCGUACUUCUUACAAUUGCGAUGGGGGGACGGAGAAGGCUAGGUGGGCCUGGCGACGGUUGUCCAGGUUCAAGUGCGUAGGCUUAAGAGUUAGGUAAAUCCGGCUCUUUUUAAGGCUGAGACACGACGUCGAGCACCUACGGGUGUGAAGUCAUUGAUGCCAUGCUUCCAGGAAAAGCCUCUAAGCUUCAGAUUGUAAGGAAUCGUACCCCAAACCGACACAGGUGGUCGGGUAGAGAAUACCAAGGCGCUUGAGAGAACUCGGGUGAAGGAACUAGGCAAAAUGGUACCGUAACUUCGGGAGAAGGUACGCUCUUGAUGGUGAAGUCCCUUGCGGAUGGAGCUGACGAGAGUCGCAGAUACCAGGUGGCUGCAACUGUUUAUUAAAAACACAGCACUGUGCAAAAUCGUAAGAUGACGUAUACGGUGUGACGCCUGCCCGGUGCCGGAAGGUUAAUUGAUGGGGUUAGACUUCGGUCGAAGCUCUUGAUCGAAGCCCCGGUAAACGGCGGCCGUAACUAUAACGGUCCUAAGGUAGCGAAAUUCCUUGUCGGGUAAGUUCCGACCUGCACGAAUGGCGUAAUGAUGGCCACGCUGUCUCCACCCGAGACUCAGUGAAAUUGAAAUCGCUGUGAAGAUGCAGUGUACCCGCGGCUAGACGGAAAGACCCCGUGAACCUUUACUACAGCUUGGCACUGAACAUUGACCCUACAUGUGUAGGAUAGGUGGGAGGCUUUGAAGCACGUACGCCAGUAUGUGUGGAGCCGUCCUUGAAAUACCACCCUUGUAGUGUUGAUGUUCUAACGUCGACCCCUAAUCGGGGUUGCGGACAGUGCCUGGUGGGUAGUUUGACUGGGGCGGUCUCCUCCCAAAGAGUAACGGAGGAGCACGAAGGUGGGCUAAUCACGGUUGGACAUCGUGAGGUUAGUGCAAUGGCAUAAGCCCGCUUGACUGCGAGAAUGACAAUUCGAGCAGGUGCGAAAGCAGGUCAUAGUGAUCCGGUGGUUCUGAAUGGAAGGGCCAUCGCUCAACGGAUAAAAGGUACUCCGGGGAUAACAGGCUGAUACCGCCCAAGAGUUCAUAUCGACGGCGGUGUUUGGCACCUCGAUGUCGGCUCAUCACAUCCUGGGGCUGAAGUCGGUCCCAAGGGUAUGGCUGUUCGCCAUUUAAAGUGGUACGCGAGCUGGGUUUAGAACGUCGUGAGACAGUUCGGUCCCUAUCUGCCGUGGGCGUUGGAAGAUUGAAGGGGGCUGCUCCUAGUACGAGAGGACCGGAGUGGACGAACCUCUGGUGUUCGGGUUGUGUCGCCAGACGCAUUGCCCGGUAGCUAAGUUCGGAAUCGAUAACCGCUGAAAGCAUCUAAGCGGGAAGCGAGCCCUGAGAUGAGUCUUCCCUGAUACUUUAAGUAUCCUAAAGGGUUGU
rnacentral:rRNA from 1 species